GAUGAACGCUGGCGGCGUGCCUAAUACAUGCAAGUCGAGCGAACAGACGAGGGGCUUGCUCCUCUGACGUUAGCGGCGGACGGGUGAGUAACACGUGGAUAACCUACCUAUAAGACUGGGAUAACUUCGGGAAACCGGAGCUAAUACCGGAUAAUAUAUUGAACCGCAUGGUUCAAUAGUGAAAGACGGCUUUGCUGUCACUUAUAGAUGGAUCCGCGCCGCAUUAGCUAGUUGGUAAGGUAACGGCUUACCAAGGCAACGAUGCGUAGCCGACCUGAGAGGGUGAUCGGCCACACUGGAACUGAGACACGGUCCAGACUCCUACGGGAGGCAGCAGUAGGGAAUCUUCCGCAAUGGGCGAAAGCCUGACGGAGCAACGCCGCGUGAGUGAUGAAGGUCUUCGGAUCGUAAAACUCUGUUAUUAGGGAAGAACAAAUGUGUAAGUAACUAUGCACGUCUUGACGGUACCUAAUCAGAAAGCCACGGCUAACUACGUG
rnacentral:rRNA from 1 species